AGCGAUUUGGACAGAAAUGGCGCGCUUUUCUGAGGUAAGGCGGUUUUACUUCAAGAAGACACAUUAUUUUCGCCUCUGCAGUCAAAUCAUCACAGUGGAUGGCAACAAGCAUCAGAGUCCUGUCUGACCAAUCAGAUUCGAGUAAGAUCUACCAACAUAUUUCUGAUAUUGAAUAUUUAGAAAAAAGCUGGAAGUAACGGCUCUGUUUCUGUCUCAGUGUCUGGUUUUCCCUCUCUCCCCUCAUUUCUCACGUCUCUCUGUGACUCAUUCUGACACACUCCACAUCCGGAUGAAAGAGACGGCGUCCCACGGGAAGAGACACGGAGACAGAGCCGAGGAGUGUCUGUAUGACUCUGGCCUUUGGUUCAGUUUAGGUUACACAAACGUGCCUCGUCCUCGAGUCUCCGUGACCCAGACCCAGAUCACGAGAGCCCCGUAUCUCAGGCAGAUGAGCUUAUCUUGACCUACUUUCUGCUUGCUGCGACGUGCUUAUUUGGACCUUGACACUAACACCGGGUCUUUUCAGGAUGCCUAGCUCAAGGCCGCGCGUUCAUUUAAAACCAAAUAUUUUGUAGACCUUGGGACUCCCAGCUAUCGU
ensembl:lncRNA